CAUCCAAAACUUUAUCAAAUGCGUAAAAACCGCAUAAAAAUACCAGAGCUGUCAACAGUACGAUUUGAUUGGCGACUAUUAAUACCAUCUAAUGACAAAAUCCGCAAUCAUUCAGUUGCCAAGCCAUUAGAUCUUCGCAAUAUGUUGCGCGCAAUAAAAUCAAUUGAAAGGAACAAUUAAUGGUAAAAAGAAAGAAAAUAGAUGGAAGAUGCGAAAAUAUGUACUGACAACUUGUCAGAAAGCGAGGAUUAUCAGCGAGGAAUAAGACACUUAUUUAUAGAAAAGAUAACAAGGCCGAUAUGGAUUUAUGGCAUCGAGCUACAUGGAUGACGGAUGCACCGUGCUAUGUAUCAAACAAAACGUUGCACGAUGACUCUGACACGCAAUUCAUCAGACGGACAAUAGGAGAAAGAAGCAACAGCCACUACAUCAAAUUGGAUCUUCGCAGCAAUCUUCUCGGUUCUAGCGGUUCUGAAGAAACAGGGUCCUAGAAGACUAAGAAGACAGUGGCCAAAAUGACGUCAGUGGCCAGAGUGACGUCAAAUGAGUCGACGUUACGACAUACAGGGUGAACCAAUAUCGGAGAUUACUGUGUUUUUGAUAGCAAAUUUGUUGUCAACUCUCUUUGCCUCAUGAUUUUUCGACAUCAGCUUGAAUUUUUUUACAAAUAAACCAAUAAUUUUUUAAUAAAACACCUAGAGGAUUUCAAGGCGAAUUUUAUCUACUUUCUUUUAUUAUUUAAUUUGUACUUUACAAUUUGUCCAGAUGGACAUUCAGUCAAUUUCUUUUCUCUACUGAUCACGACUCCUGGUUCCUGUAUAAGGAACUUGAGGCAUCAAAUCAGCCUAAAGAAUCUUCUCUUCGAUUCUAAUCGCCGAUACGAAGAUAGGAAAAAGAAAGUUCACUUUUUGCUGUUACAGUAACAGUUUAUAUCAGUUCCGAUUAAACGAGAUGUCGUGCGUAUCAGAAAAUAGAAAAAUCCUUCAAUUCGUCGAUGCCAUUAUUUUCUCAGCAAUUUUCCUCAUAGACACGCAAACGUAAAGUUUCUCGAGCAUUCAAGAUAUUACACCGUGCAAGAAAAGUUUCACACCGUGCAUCACGUUUAAUAAUCAGACUUACUUAACUUGUCCAUGUAAUCUGAGAAAAUUAGAUUAACCACUACGCUGUCAACCAGCAAUCGAACUUGC
rnacentral:misc_RNA from 1 species